rnacentral:rRNA from 1 species
UACGAAGGGGGCUAGCGUUGUUCGGAAUUACUGGGCGUAAAGCGCACGUAGGCGGACUACUAAGUCAGGGGUGAGAUCCCGGGGCUCAACCCCGGAACUGCCUUUGAUACUGGUAGUCUCGAGUCCGGAAGAGGUGAGUGGAAUUCCGAGUGUAGAGGUGAAAUUCGUAGAUAUUCGGAGGAACACCAGUGGCGAAGGCGGCUCACUGGUCCGGUACUGACGCUGAGGUGCGAAAGCGUGGGGAGCAAACAGG